GUGCUCGCUUCAGCAGCACAUAUACUAAAAAUGGAAUGACACAGUGAAGAUUUAGCACGGUCCCUAUGCAAGGAUGACACACACAUCUGGGAAGUGUCCCCUACUUAA
ensembl:snRNA U6 U6 spliceosomal RNA